rnacentral:lncRNA from 1 species
CGCAUUCCAUUUCCACAUGCUGCACCAUACAAUUUUAUAUUGAAGCACCAGUUGCAGCCACGUCCUACUUGUAUAUUUUUAAUCGAAGAGUGUCUCGGCCCAAGGCAACACAUUGCAGCACGCAAUGGUUUCGUCAAUCACGGCCCAGCAGCAACACUUCACGUUGGCAGCAAUUGGAGGGGUGCACACAGUAGCUGUUGUCACGGGC